rnacentral:tRNA from 4 species
GAGGCCGGUUCAAUCCGGUUUUUGGUACCGGCAUUCGCAGGUUCGAAUCCUGCCGCCCCA